rnacentral:rRNA from 1 species
UACGUAGGUGGCAAGCGUUGUCCGGAUUUAUUGGGCGUAAAGCGCGCGCAGGCGGUCUCUUAAGUCUGAUGUGAAAGCCCACGGCUCAACCGUGGAGGGUCAUUGGAAACUGGGGGACUUGAGUACAGAAGAGGAAAGCGGAAUUCCACGUGUAGCGGUGAAAUGCGUAGAGAUGUGGAGGAACACCAGUGGCGAAGGCGGCUUUCUGGUCUGUAACUGACGCUGAGGCGCGAAAGCGUGGGGAGCAAACAGG